GUUUGCCUCGCUUGAUCUGAAUCUCAUUGACUCGAUAAUUAUGUAAUUCGUUAGAACGUCACGUCCUGCUGACUGGGAAUUGCGUCGAAGAAGCGAAAGCUUCGUGAAUCGCAAACUUGCCUUCGACCCUGUUCUCAAACUGUCGUUGUCGUUUUGUCAUAAGCCUUAAGAAAGUUUCCUGUACAAAAAAGAACAUGAAAUAUAGUUAAUGUUGAACAUGUGGCGAAGAAUCACAACAGAGGUAAAAGAAAUUUUACUUUCUUCUCUUUUGGAAACUCUUCUGCAUAACUUCAUUAGUUCAUUUCCAAGAAAUCAAAUAAUAAUGAAAUACGUACAUGAUGAUUUAAUAAUAAUUAACUAAAAAAAAAAAAAAAGGAGAAGCAAGAGUAUCUGGAGAAGGUGUAAAUGGGAUAAAGUGAUUUAAAUGCAAUACACGUAAGAAAGCAUUUGUGGUGGGAGUGGAAGGACGAGUGAAAGAUGAGAUUUAACAUAAUCCACACCUUUGCCUUAAAAAAUGGAAUUAACAAUAAAUUAACUAACUAA
rnacentral:lncRNA from 1 species